UACGAAGGGGCUAGCGUUGCUCGGAAUUAGUACGUGGGCGUAAAGCGGCAUACGUGGCGGCUUUCUAAAUGUCGGGGGUGAAAUCCUGGAGCUCAACUCCCAGUAACUGCCUUCGGAUACUGGCGAUCUUCGAGUCCGGGAGAGGUGAGUGGAACUGCGAGUGUAGAGGUGAAAUUCGUAGAUAUUCGCAAGAACACCAGUGGCGA
rnacentral:rRNA from 1 species